rnacentral:tRNA from 1 species
GGAGGAAUGCCCGAGUGGUUAAAGGGGACGGACUGUAAAUCCGUUGGCUAUGCCUUCGUUGGUUCAAAUCCAACUUCCUCCACCA